rnacentral:rRNA from 1 species
UCUGUAGUGCAGCCCUAAGUAGGUGGUAAACUCCAUCUAAGGCUAAAUAUGACCACGAGACCGAUAGAAAACAAGUACCGUGAGGGAAAGUUGAAAAGGACUUUGUAGAGAGAGUUCAAGAGUACGUGAAACCGUUCAGGGGUAAACGGAAAAGACUUUAAGCACCGAAAGGGGAGAUUCACGCUUUCUCGCAUGAGUCGGCUCCUGCGCGGCCAGAUGGCGCCGUUCGCCCGCUCGGAGCAAUCCGUUGCGGGGUCGUUUCGGUGAUCACUCGGUCCGCGCGGGGGUUAUGCCGGCCGCGGUGAGCCGCACUUCUCCCUCAGUAGGACGUAGCGACCCGUUGGUUGGCGGUCGACGGACCCGGGUGUAGACCGUCGCCAGGUCCUCGGACCUCGGUUGGCGGACCCUGGGAUACCUGACCGAUCAACAGACGGUCUGAAACGCAGGUGUUGUACCGCCCCCCCUGGCGGCAGGGCGUCCGGGUCGGCGCAAGCUUGGGUACGUCUCAGGAUGACGGACUUCGGUCCGGCUCUUGUGCGUCCCGGCUGUUGGUGUCGCACCCUCGGACGGUGUAGUAUAACACUGGUCGGCUACGGCAGUUUAAGGUACUUAUCCGACCCGUCUUGAAACACGGACCAAGGAGUCUAACAUGUGCGCGAGUCAUUUGGUUUUCAAACCAAAAG